UACGACUUUAUUUUUAUUUCUCUGGCAUUCUCUAGGGGAGGGGUUAGAGAAGAGAGGAAAAGGAAGAAAGAAAGGGGGCAGGGAAAUAUAGAUUCAAUGCUUUUGUUUUGUUUCUGGGCUGCUUGCUAUCAGUAAAGUAGAGAGAUUUAACGGAUCUUGCCAAGAUGCAAACCUCUUUUCAAGGAAGCCAGAGCUCAGAAGACAUGGAACAAAUACAAUGAAAACAUAACAUGAGGUCGGAAAAUGUCCCCUGAAUAUUUAUGUCAAUGUCCUACCUUAGUGAAUAUUACUCAAUACUGGGGCUCCUUUGAAGCAUUUAGCACAUUUAUACCAUGAAGAUAUUGAGACUGCCAUCAUGCUCUGUUAUUCUAAGAGAAAGAUCAACAACAAC
rnacentral:lncRNA from 10 species